rnacentral:tRNA from 1 species
GGGGAUGUAGCUCAGUGGUAGAGUGCUUGCUUUGCAUGUACAGGGACCUAGGUCCGAUCCCCAGCAUCACAA